GGGUGGGGGGUUGAGGGUUCUUGUGUGAAUUGAUUUGGGGGGUUGAGGGUUCUUGUGUGAAUUGAUAUAGUAUAAUUCAGUCGGCAAAACUAAAACAGAGUAAUUCAGAACUUGAGAUGUGUUAUGCAAGAGAGAGAAGAGAGAUAGGAAGAGAGAAAGAGGGCAAAACUGGGAUUAAUACAUGAGAUAUGUAAAAUAUCAACCAUUUUUUUGUUAGGUGUUAGUUUUUGAAUUUUAAUAUUUUUAUGUGUUUCUUUUACAAAUUUUCUCUAAUAUGUGUCACUUUACUUGAAUUUUUUUAAAAUCAUGGAUUGUGCGGGACGCAGGGAAAUCAUAUAUAUGAAAGUUGGCCAACUCUCUCCCACAACUUGACACAUCAGCACAUAAGAGUUUGCCAUCUAGACUUCAUAAAAUAAAUAAUACAUAAUUAGUAAUCAAUUCAACAUAAAAACUAAAAUAGGAGGAUAUAAUUAAUCAGAACUUGAACAUCACUCUUUCUACAUUUUUUUAAUUCAAUAUAUCCUCUUUAAUUUUGAGAUCCAAACAUGUUACACAUAUUCCUUGCCUAAAAAUUAGACGAUUAUUAUAAAAGAAACUAAAUGAAUAUGCAGAUUAAAUAUAUCUAAGCUUUUCGAGAUUUAUGCUAAGAAAACAAGUAAUUUGAAAGAUGUUUGAGGAGCUAUCCUUAUGACUAAUACGUAAGAUAUAAGAUUAUGACAAGAACUUAACUAAACUUUCCAAGAACAUCAAGUUGAAUAUGAUUAGAUUGGAUAUGCAGAAACAUGAUUAAUAAAGACAUGUUAUAUUUUUAAUGUAAGAAAUAAAUUUUCUAAAAUUUCACCGUCUCACAAACUAAAUAUAUAACCAAAAGAACAAGGAUAUAUAAAUAAAUAAAUAAACUGAGAAUCUAGAACAACAAUAAAAAACAACUCAAGCACUUUCGUUUUCAGAUGAACUAAUAUAGUUGGAGUU
rnacentral:sRNA from 1 species